rnacentral:rRNA from 1 species
GACGUAGGAUGCAAGCGUUGUCCGGAUUUAUUGGGCGUAAAGAGUUCGUAGGUGGUUCGUUAAGUCUGAUGUUAAAGACCGAGGCUCAACUUCGGGACUGCAUUGGGUACUGGCGGACUUGAGUGUGGUAGAGGCAAUCGGAAUUCCAGGUGUAGCGGUGAAAUGCGCAGAUAUCAGGAGGAACACCGGUGGCGAAGGCGGGUCUCUGGGCCGAUACUGACGCUGAGGAGCGAAAGCGUGGGGAGCGAACAGG